CUGGUUUCUCGACUGCCCGCUCGACGAUGUCCCCGUCGCGGCCGGUGACUUCCCGCCGCAGGCCGACGGGUUCUGCUGGGCCCCGCAGGGAUUCAAUGUCGCCUCCAACUCCAUUGUACAACUUGAUGGUUCCUUUGCCGAGUCUGGUGGGUUUAAAGAUUCAGGCACCCGGAAACGGGGAAGGUCUGAAUCUGGCAAUGUACCUGGAUCCAAAGCUUGUAGGGAGAAGAUGAGGAGGGACAAGUUGAAUGAUAGGUUCAUGGAGCUGGGUUCCAUUCUGGAUCCUGGAAAGCCACCCAAAAUGGAUAAAGCAGCUAUCCUU
rnacentral:misc_RNA from 1 species